GCCUAAUACAUGCAAGUCGAGCGAACGGACGAGAAGCUUGCUUCUCUGAUGUUAGCGGCGGACGGGUGAGUAACACGUGGAUAACCUACCUAUAAGACUGGGAUAACUUCGGGAAACCGGAGCUAAUACCGGAUAAUAUUUUGAACCGCAUGGUUCAAAAGUGAAAGACGGUCUUGCUGUCACUUAUAGAUGGAUCCGCGCUGCAUUAGCUAGUUGGUAAGGUAACGGCUUACCAAGGCAACGAUGCAUAGCCGACCUGAGAGGGUGAUCGGCCACACUGGAACUGAGACACGGUCCAGACUCCUACGGGAGGCAGCAGUAGGGAAUCUUCCGCAAUGGGCGAAAGCCUGACGGAGCAACGCCGCGUGAGUGAUGAAGGUCUUCGGAUCGUAAAACUCUGUUAUUAGGGAAGAACAUAUGUGUAAGUAACUGUGCACAUCUUGACGGUACCUAAUCAGAAAGCCACGGCUAACUACGUGCCAGCAGCCGCGGUAAUACGUAGGUGGCAAGCGUUAUCCGGAAUUAUUGGGCGUAAAGCGCGCGUAGGCGGUUUUUUAAGUCUGAUGUGAAAGCCCACGGCUCAACCGUGGAGGGUCAUUGGAAACUGGAAAACUUGAGUGCAGAAGAGGAAAGUGGAAUUCCAUGUGUAGCGGUGAAAUGCGCAGAGAUAUGGAGGAACACCAGUGGCGAAGGCGACUUUCUGGUCUGUAACUGACGCUGAUGUG
rnacentral:rRNA from 1 species